rnacentral:misc_RNA from 1 species
UCCGGCUUGACGCCGGCGGUCCCAUUAGAGUGCUCAACUGAAUGUUAGCAACUAAUGGCAGGGGUUGCGCUCGUUGCCGGACUUAACCGAACAUCUCACGACACGAGCUGACGACAGCCAUGCAGCACCUGUCUCGGAGUUCCUUACGGCACCCCACCAUCUCUGGCGGGUUCUCCGGAUGUCAAACCCAGGUAAGGUUUCUCGCGUUGCGUCGAAUUAAACCACAUGCUCCACCGCUUGUGCGGGCCCCCGUCUAUUCCUUUGAGUUUUAACCUUGCGGCCGUACUCCCCAGGCGGGAUACUUAAUGCGUUAGCGUCGGCACUGAAGGGAUCAAUUCCUCCAACGCCUAGUAUCCAUAGUUUACAGCGUGGACUAC